rnacentral:rRNA from 1 species
UACGAAGGGGGCUAGCGUUGCUCGGAAUUACUGGGCGUAAAGCGCACGUAGGCGGAUUGUUAAGUCGGGGGUGAAAUCCUGGAGCUCAACUCCAGGACUGCCUUCGAUACUGGCGAUCUCGAGUUCGGGAGAGGUGAGUGGAACUGCGAGUGUAGAGGUGAAAUUCGUAGAUAUUCGCAAGAACACCAGUGGCGAAGGCGGCUCACUGGCCCGAUACUGACGCUGAGGUGCGAAAGCGUGGGGAGCAAACAGG